GUACAGUUGUAUAUGUUAUCCGUAAGCAUGAUGUUAUUGUUAUCUGAAAUUUAUAUAUGGGUAGAGAAAUGCAUAUAGUUCCUAGGUUGAUAAAGGGGUACACACCAUCAGACUAUUUUCAACUAAACAUCACCCUCAAUACCUUCUAUAUUUUCUUUUGAAUUGCAGAGAAGUCGUCUGGCUCUGCAUUUCACAGAAUUACUUUCAUUAUGUGAUUCUAGGACACUGCCUGGGAGAGAAGCAACUGUGAAAUAUUUGAAAGUGGAAGAGAACGAUAAUCCUAAUAAGCUUGGUUGUCUGCAUUCCCAAGAGACAAACAGCAUUAGCAGGGUAGUCUUACCGACUCUUCUACAUAAUAGUGAAUAUAAUAACUUAAAAUGUUGAGAAGUCUGGGGUCAUUUAGUGGAGGAGCCAACAUUUUAUAUUACAAAAGCCCCUAAAAGUAUUAUUGCCACAUCAAUCAACAAUCAUGAUAAUCUUUAAAAUGAAGAAAAAAUUAUAUUGUAUUCAGAAUAAUUUAUUCAAGAAACUAGGGAGAUGUGUAUAAUCCAAUUAGGAGAAUAUCUUUUUUCAUUAAAACUUCAAACAUUCUGAAUCAAAAUCUUGUCGUGGGGGAGUCCAGAAAUGUAGAUUUGCUGGUUCACCCCUUCUCCCCACCAUUCUAAUAUCUAACCACAGCCAGGGUUGAGAACUACUGAUUA
rnacentral:lncRNA from 1 species